GUCUCGGUAGUGUAAGAGUUAAGAGCACGGUACCCGGAAAGGACAAGUACGGGUUCGAGUCCCGUCCGAAACU
rfam:Haemonchus placei strain MHpl1 genome assembly, scaffold: HPLM_scaffold0003120